GUUGAGCAUCUGGAUAAACAUGUCAAAAGGGGUGGACAAAAUACAGGUGUUUCGAACCACCAGAGUGCGGAAUGCAUUAAAGAAAGAUGGAAGUUGGAUACACCAACCAAAGGGCGACAAAGAGGAAGAAAAGGACGUCGGGCCUAGCCAGUCUGCAGAUGGUAACCCAGCUGUGACUAAACAGAAAUCCUACGUCCUCCAAACGGCCAGAAGAUUUGGUGCAAUAGAUUCAUCAGUGAUUCUUCAUCCUCAAACGACAAAGGUCACUCCAUCUGAAGGGCCUCAAGCGUCCACAGUAGAAGAAAUUCACAACGGCGGGGCACAACCAGAAAAACCAGCGGCAGAAGAAAUGCCAGAAAAUGGUGAAGCACAAACUGUCAUAUCAGUAGUGGAGCUCAGUGAAGCAUUAGCAGCAGACGCUACUUUAGAUAUUCCUGUAGAGGAAUGUGCCCAAGCAGAUUCUGCAGAAGGGGAAGAAACAGAAGCAGUGUCUCCAGUGAAACCUGCUGAACAAGCUUUAAGCAGCCAGAAUGCAGUAAACAAAGACCCGCCAGUCCCAGAUAACAGUGAGACAGAGGUCUCAGCAGAAGCUAAUGUAAAAUCUCCAGAUGUGGAUGGCAGUUGUAUAAAAGGCCCUCCAGAAGAUGACAAAUCUGUAGAUGUCAACGAGGAAUCACAUUAUGUGAUUCAUGCAUCACCUGAAGAAGAUGUCCAAGUCAGUGUAGAGUCAGUCCCUGACAUAGUGGAGUCAGUUACCAAACCCCCUCCUCAAUUUGCUGAUGAAAUAAUAACAGAUGGACCUGAAGAGCCUCGUACAGAUGAAAGAGUUGAAGAUGGAUCAGCAGUAAUAGAAGAGUCAACACUUGCUGUGACUAAUGUGACACAGAAGGAAGAGGAUGCAGGACAUGAUGGAGUCCAAACUGUCCCCGAUGUUGUGUCAGAAAUACCUGCUUCAGCAGCUGGUUCAACUGCUGCACUAGCUUUAGUGUGUGAAGGUGACUCUGCACCGCAGAACGAGCUAAACACCACAACUGAGCAGGAUGUCGAGGGUAAACUAGACUCUCCUACAUCUCAAGAAGAAAGAGUCCAAAUAGCAGCACAUGGAAAGUGUGAGGAUUCAUCUGCACCCCAGGAAAAGUCAUUUGUUAAAACCCCAACGAAAGAGUUUGAUGAUUGUGAAUCAAAGCCUUUGUCAAACAUUGAAACCACAAAGGAAGAGGGAACUGUGUGUGAAGCCCAGACAGAACCUCAGGACCAUCUUAUAAUAAAAACUAUUACCGUGGCUGAACUGGAGACUGAAAUUGAGCCCAUACUACAAGUGGAGCCAGUUUUGAAUACCACAAAUGAGGAAGCUGAAGAGCAGUCAGGUGGUGGCAUCCCAGAGGACCAACGUGCUGAACCAGAACCUAAGAUCACUGAGGACCCUGAUGCUGAGCUUAACAUGGAAGACUCCACACAGCCAGAAACUGUUUCUGAUGCUGGAAUUGUUCAGAAUAAAGAAGUUAACCUACUUAUUGAGCUGACGGACGCAUUAGAUGUGGAGCCCCCCCCCAUCAUAUCUGCCCCUGAACCUGUUAAAGAUCCAGAAGCACCUCAGACUGAGGAGCCCAAACAAAACAAACAGAAGGCCAAAACGGACUUCAACGGCCUUUGUUCAUUCUGCCACCAAAAACUUGAUGGACCUAUCAAGAUCACACUAAGUGAUCCAGCAGUGACGUGUCACCCUGACUGUCUGAAGUGUGGUGUUUGUGCUCGGGUGCUUGGAGAUUUCUUGAGCCCCAUGUUCUUGCAAGGCCAAGUGAUCCAGUGUGGCAGCUGCGUUACAAGAGCUCCCAGGAUCUAAAGCCCAACUGGGACAAACGUGUUAUCAGAGACAAAUCAAAACAAACUGUGAUUAAUGUGCUAUCCUCUAUUUUUACACCAGCGUUUUUAAAACUUAUUGAGAAUCAGAUCAUAUUACGCUGCCGUGGUUGGAAAGUGUACUGAAAAAGCUUUUCAGCAUGUUCUUUUUUAAUUUUUUG
ensembl:lncRNA titin homolog